rnacentral:rRNA from 1 species
CCCUUAGAUGUUCUGGGCCGCACGCGCGCUACACUGAUGCAUUCAACGAGUCUAAAACCUGGUCUGAUAGGGCUGGGUAAUCUUUUGAAUGUGCAUCGUGAUUGGGAUAGAUGAUUGCAAUUCUUCAUCUUCAACGAGGAAUGCCUAGUAAACGCAAGUCAUCAGCUUGCAUUGAUUACGUCCCUGCCCUUUGUACACACCGCCCGUCGCUCCUACCGAUUGAAUGUGUUGGUGAGGAGCUCGGAUUGGCAGCAGUUGGUGGUUCGCCACCGGCUAUUGCUGAGAAGUCCUCCAAACCGCCCCAUUUAGAGGAAGGAGAAGUCGUAACA